UGGGGAAUUUUGGACAAUGGGCGCAAGCCUGAUCCAGCCAUGCCGCGUGAGUGAAGAAGGCCUUCGGGUUGUAAAGCUCUUUAGUCCGGGACGAAAUCGCACGCGUGAAUAUCGCGGGUGGAUGACGGUACCGGAAGAAUAAGCACCGGCUAACUACGUGCCAGCAGCCGCGGUAAUACGUAGGGUGCGAGCGUUAAUCGGAAUUACUGGGCGUAAAGCGUGCGCAGGUGGUUUUUUAAGUCAGACGUGAAAUCCCCGGGCUUAACCUGGGAACUACGUUUGAAACUGGAAGACUAGAGUGUGGCAGAGGGGGGUGGAAUUCCUGGUGUAGCAGUGAAAUGCGUAGAGAUCAGGAGGAACACCGAUGGCGAAGGCAGCCCCCUGGGCUAACACUGACGCUCAUGCACGAAAGCGUGGGGAGCAAACAGG
rnacentral:rRNA from 1 species